AAAGCUUUAAGUUAAAAAUGUAAACUAUUAACUUUCAAAGUUAAAAAUAUAUUAAAUAUAAGCUUUA
rnacentral:tRNA from 1 species